CCUACGGGUGGCAGCAGUGAGGAAUAUUGGUCAAUGGACGAGAGUCUGAACCAGCCACGUAGCGUGAAGGAUGACUGCCCUCGGUGUGGUAAACUCUUUUUAUAUGGGAAUAAAUUGUUCUACGUGUGUUAUUUUGUCCGUAUCAUACGAAUAAGGAUCGGCCAACUCCGUGCCAGCAGCCGCGGUAAUACGGAGGUGCCGUGUGUUAUCCGGAUUUAUUGGGUUUAAAGGGAGCGUAGGUGGAUUGUUAAGUCAGUUGUGAAAGUUUGCGGCUCAACCGUAAAAUUGCAGUUGAAACUGGCAGUCUUGAGUACAGUAGAGGUGAGCGGAAUUCGUGGUGUAGCGGUGAAAUGCUUAGAUAUCACGAAGAACUCCAGUUGCGAAGGCAGUUCACUGGACUGCAACUGACACUGAGGCUCGAAAGUGUGGGUAUCAAACAGGAUUAGAUACCCUUGUAGUC
rnacentral:rRNA from 1 species